GUCCUUUUCAGUAUUCACAGUAGAAUUUUGAGAGAUGGAUUUAAUGAGCCCUAGCUUCCAUUUUGGGGUAUUAUAACAGUUUGGCUGUUCAAAAACCCCCCACAAAGGCCUACCAUUUGUAAAAGUAGACACUCCAGGGUAUCUUACAAGGUGCAUAUUGUGCCUUAACAUGCCCCCAUUUUUUCACCAAUAUAUGCCAAAGUAUGUGGUAAAAAAUAAUUUUGUGCAUUUUUUACAUACGGAUUGCAUUUUUGCUGGGCGUUUUGUAUAUUUCAUAUGUGCCACUAAGUUCAAAC